rnacentral:lncRNA from 1 species
CACAUUCUGUGACGUCAUAAGCUGGGUAAGUAUGUUUAUUGAAUAGUAAACUAAAGCAUAGCUGAGUUAUUAUUGGCUCAAAUCAAAUGAAAUUUUGCAUACGGAUAGUACAUGAUGAGAUGCAUGGGAAAAAUACUUCUAAUUUCGUUGUCAAGGCAACACAGUCGUUCCCAGGCCUCUUACACUGAUUUUGAAUAACUAGUUGCAUUUAUCUAUGUGUAUGUCAUUUUCGAAUUAUUAUCAUGCUAGUAAAC